rnacentral:rRNA from 1 species
CCUACGGGAGGCAGCAGUGGGGAAUAUUGCGCAAUGGGCGAAAGCCUGACGCAGCGACGCCGCGUGAGGGAUGAAUGUCUUCGGAUCGUAAACCUCUGUCAGCAUGGAAGAACGGUCACUGUGCUAAUCAGCAGUGAAUUGACGGUACCUGCAAAGGAAGCACCGGCUAACUCCGUGCCAGCAGCCGCGGUAAUACGGAGGGUGCGAGCGUUAAUCGGAAUUACUGGGCGUAAAGCGCUCGUAGGCGGUAUGUCAAGUCAAGGGUGAAAUCCCCGCGCUCAACGUGGGAACUGCCUUUGAAACUGGCAAACUGGAGUGUGUGAGAGGAUAGUGGAAUUCCAGGUGUAGGAGUGAAAGCCGUAGAUAUCUGGAGGAACAUCAGUGGCGAAGGCGACUAUCUGGCACAUAACUGACGCUGAGGAGCGAAAGCGUGGGUAGCAAACAGGAUUAGAUACCCCAGUAGUC